GGAUGUGUGGGUGACAAGGAUCACCAGGGUUUGUUUGGCUCAUCUGGCUGGUUAGGCAGCUGUCCCCUUCCACCCUCAGCACUCCUGGGUGUCCCUCCCAAGGCAGCAUGCUGGGUCAAAGAGGAGGAACUUCCAUGAUAGAGGAGGAUGGGUCUUCCAUAAAUGGGAUAGAAGUAGUUGUGCUCCUGUUGAAACCUUCCAGCAAGCUCUCAAGGUCCAUUUGUAGGAGAAUGUAGGGUAGUCAAGCUUCCAAGACUCCAGACACAUGCAAAUGAGGCACGGCAUGAAGCAGUCGGCUUUU
rnacentral:snRNA from 1 species